rnacentral:rRNA from 1 species
CCUACGGGAGGCAGCAGUGGGGAAUAUUGCACAAUGGGGGAAACCCUGAUGCAGCGACGCCGCGUGAGUGAAGAAGUACUUCGGUAUGUAAAGCUCUAUCAGCAGGGAGGAAAAUGACGGUAUCUGUGUACUCAGCCCCGGCUAACUCCGUGCCAGCAGCCGCGGUCAUACGUAGGGGGCAAGCGUUAUCCGGAUUUACUGGGGGAAACGGGAGCGUAGACGGCAGUGCAAGUCUGGAGUGAAAGCCGGGGGCUCAACCCCCGGUCUGCUAUUGAAACUGUACGGCUGGAGUGCAGGAGAGGUAAGUGGAAUUCCUAGUGUAGCGGUGAAAUGCGUAGAUAUUAGGAGGAACACCAGUGGCGAAGGCGGCUCACUGGACUGCAACUGACACUGAGGCUCGAAAGUGUGGGUAUCAAACAGGAUUAGAUACCCUUGUAGUC